rnacentral:lncRNA from 12 species
CCAUGACCGUUGCUCCCUGGUGUUACUCCACGAAUAUAUCAAAUGACAGGGCAAAAAGGACUUUGCAGAUGUUGUUAAGGUUUCUCAUCAGCUGACCUUAAAAUAGGGAGAUUAUCCUGAUUUAUCCGGGUGAGCCCAAACCUAAUCAUGCGAGUCCUCUCUCUGGCUGGCAGCAAAAGAAGAAAUCAGAGAGAUUCAGUAGUUGAUUUAGGUGGAAAUUUAGUUGCAGCUUUGAUUAGUCCACCUCUACCUUUGAAGGGUUUGAGGGAGAGUAAAGACCUCUCAGUCAGAGAGACCCUGAGCUUAAAUACCUGGGGACUGGACAACCUCACAACAGUAAGGCCUCAGGCUGGGACAUCUCAAAGCUGCGAGGCUGGGGGGAAUGGCCCAUCACAUUUGGUGACAAUGGGAGAAUCCGAAGUGAGAUUCUGAUGGCAUUCAAGAACAACAAGAAACACAAGCAGACUCCUUUUUGAGUUCGCUGUCUUUCUUCCCACUUCCCUGGGCUGUGGGUAAGUUACUCUUCAUUCUGAGUUAUGCUCUCUUCACACUGAUCUUAAAAUCUAAUCACUUUCCAGUCCAGAGCUUAGAAGGUCAACUUGAGCUGGUGGUACGUUCCAUCUGGAACCCAUAUCCCUAGCCCUUGGUUCAGUUUGGAAUCCCUUCCCAGUUCCACUCUGCAGGCUGCAUACUGGAAUCUGCUGGUUUAAUCCACACUGGGAAUUGCUGGUGGUGUGCACAGUCUUCUCUCAGCCAGUCCUCAGUAACAUCUCUUGGUUACUACUAAUAUGUUAAGUGCAUAUAUCUGUUUUCCUAUGUAGAUAAAGGCUAUUUCCUCUGGGGAUCUCAAAAGCCAAAAAGCUGCAAAAAUUGGUGAGCACAGGUCAAGUAUUUACAACCUGUUUGAGCACUCUCCACCUCAAGAAGACUCCUAUGAUAAGACAAAUUGGUCUCAGAACUGGUUAGAUUGACACUAGGUCACCCAACAGUCUCAAGAAACUUCCCAUGCAGCAAGGCACACUGUAAAACACUACACAAUCUCCAACCCAGGGCACAUCUCCUUUGGGUAUUAGAUUGGCUCUGAGAAACCCAAAGCAUUAGCUAAUGGAAUCCUUAAACCCCAAGAGUGAAGGCACCACCUUCUGACACAUUUGCUUGUUCGUGCUUCAAAACUAUGACCUGCAGGUUAUAAAUACCUACAGAAAUGGAAAAAUAUUCUUAAAAACAACCUAGAAUUACAAUGGGCCUUUGGGGAAUGUUCCAGUUAUACAAGAUCAGUCAUUUAAGAAAUGCACUUGAAAGUAAGAGUUCCUGAAUUAAAGGAAGGAAAUGUGAUACCUACUUUAAUUGGCAUGCAAAAGUGUCUAAAAAUCUUCAAGAUUCAAAAGUAGUCUCAUUGAAAGGUUCACCGGAAAAGGCCAAUGAAACAUUGAAGACAUAAGAGCAACCUAAAACAAAAGAUGACAGGACUGAUGUGACCCCUGCUGCUCCCCUCGCCCUCCUUUACCUGAAUCCUUCCGGUCUGCUAGUUCUGUGUCUGACCUGCCUUUCACUCUGGAGAGAUGAUUAAAGAGAUACCUCCUAAAAUAAAACUUCCCAAAGUUUUGGGUGAUCCUCCUCA